GAUAACUGGCUUGUGGCGGCCGAGUGGUCAUAGCGAUGCCACUUUUCGGUCCUUUGAUGUCGGCUCUUCCUGUCAUCCUGAGGCAGAAUUCACCAAGCGUUGGAUUGUUCACCCACUAAUAGGGAAUGUGAGCUGGGUUUAGGCUGUCGUGAGACAGGUUGGUUUUACCCUAACG
rfam:Apaloderma vittatum contig82542, whole genome shotgun sequence.